UAGGAACCGAGACGCCAGUCUCGGUGGAGCCUCCCUUGAGAUACCACCCUUGUUCUGCUUGAUGUCUAACCGCGGACCGUUAUCCGGUUCCGGGACCUGUGUGGCGGGUAGUUUGACUGGGGCGGUCUCCUAAAUCGUAACGGAGGCGCGCGAAGGUUGGCUCAGAGCGGUCGGAAAUCGCUCGUUGAGUGCAAUGGCAGAAGCCAGCCUGACUGCGAGACU
rnacentral:rRNA from 1 species